UAUCAUUUCCGGCGACAAUCCAGCCGGCGACGAUCGAACUGUCGCCGGUCGCCUUCUCUGAGAUGAGGGACUCAGAAAAUUUUUGUUUGAUUCAGUGGACGUAAUUUUACAUUCUCAUAAUCUCAUCCUUCCUGUUUUGGGUUGCUUGCGAACGCAGAAGAAGGAAGCAAAUUACACGUUAUUCGACGUUGAAGAAAAGAACAGCUCAAAAAAUAUGUCUUUUACGCGAUCUCUAUCUUUUCUCUUUUAAAUUCUCUAUCAAAGGAUCAAAUGGAAAAAGGGAAUUGCAGCUGAAUAUUCGAUAAACAUUCCAAGUCUGAUACAGAAGCAAAGUAGUAUUGUAUCAUUCUUUACAGGGAAGCCCAGUUUGGAAUGUCCCCAAAAUUGGCUUUUCUGGGUUCAUUCUAGAAUCCUUCAUAUAUGCAUGUGCCUAAUUUAUUGUUUAAAAGUUUUUAUCUUCGCAUUUGAUUUUUGUAUCUGGAAACAUACUUGUUCUUUUUCUUGAUUUAAUUAGGAGGAUUCAGAAUUCCAGAUUAUAGCUUCACCCCUUCUGCCUCUUUUGCUGGGGUGGCUUCAUAAUUGCAUUUUUUCCAUAUUAUUAUUGCUUGUAUUACAUUCUAAUCCGUUUGUUUUGGGUAAAAUUUUCUUGUUUUUUAGGAGAAAGGAUAAGUUAGCUCAGAAUUUCAGAUUUUAGCUUCAAUCUUUCUGGCUCUUCUGUUGGGUGGCUUCUCAUAAUUGCAAUUUCCAUAUUAUUAUUGCUUGUAUUAUAUUCUAAUAAUUCAUUUUUCUUUGGGGGAUAAAUUUUCUGUUUGAGUAACGCGAAGCACUAUUCGAGCGGUAAAUCCUAUCUUGUGAACCUGUCAAAGAACCAUAAGGAGUUAAAUCGGCCUAGAUUGUCCAUAAGUGGACUGACUCAAACCAAGACGGCCAACAAGUUGCUCCUGCUGGGAGUCGAACUUGAAAUCUUAUGAUUACUAAACUAAUAGCCUGACCAACUUGGUUGUUGCUGUCGAGGGAUAAAUUUUCUUGUUUUUAGGAGAAAGGGAUAUAUUUGGCUAUUUUUCUGGGUCAAAAUUGAGUAUUUCUCCACAAAUUUGGACCUAUUCUUGUAGGGUUUUGGUCAAGCUGGAUAUACCUUUAACUUCAACAUCUGAUUGUUGAAAAAAAAAAAAACAAAAACUAAGAAAGUGAGGGGAAAUGAAGAAUUUGAUAAUAGUAAAUGGUUUUGCAGCACAACUUCUAUAUUGAUUUUCUUGAAUGUUUUACAUGAGGAUGUUAUAAGCUAUAACCAAAUCUAAUAGACCAAAGGGCCCUUUUAUCAUUAUAUUCUUAUCAUUGACACUAUCUGUGCAAUUUGGUUGUUAUGUUUUCUAGUUAGUAGUUUUGUAAAACAAGAACAAAAUUUAUCCAUCGAACCCGUGCUGUGUCAGGCUGCAGAUAUAUACUUUAUGCUCGUGUUUUCUGUAUGCAUACCUAACAUAAGAUUCUGCGUUCUAUUUAGGAUCCAAAUAUUCUUAUGGUUUAGAUAGAAUGGCUGAAGCAUUCGCCCCGCUUUCAUGGUGGCUGCGGAGUGGGAAACAUCGAGAACUUAGAAAAGCUCCCAAAGGGUCCUCCAUAAAUACAUUGCCCGAAAUGGAGGUGUUGGAAGUGGAUAAGAUGAAACAUGGGCAAAACAUAGCCUCCAGUUCUAGGAGGGGGGUUAAACGCAAAUGGGAAAGGCGGGAGGAGAGGAAGAUUGACAAAGAGCAUGACAUUGUUCUUGUGCCAUCGGAUGGUGGUUGUGUAUCAGGCUCCGAGUCUGAUGACACUGAUUGGUCGAUUGGAUGGGUGGAGCCUCAUGGCUCGGGGUUCAAUAGUGACGGUGAUUCGGAUGAUAGCUUCGCUGUGCUGGUUCCUUGCUAUGGACGCGGUUGCUUGAGCUUCGAGGAUGAUUCAAAAGAUAAGGUUCUCGGGACGAUUGGAAACAUCACAGAUAUAUAUGCAGCAGGGAACAAGAAGUAUAUGGAGCAAUGGCUAUCUUCCCUCCGGAAUAUCUGACAAUAUCAAGCAUUCGGUACAAACUUGAUGGACCAAACAGCAGAGGAUCAAGAUUAUGGUGUGAAGAAAUGGCCUCUGGCGCGCUGUUCUUGAACGAAGGGCUUGCAAAUCUUCUAGAGGGAGGAGAAGAGAAAGUGAAGAUGGGAGAAAAGAAACAAUAAAGGCAGCCAAAAAACAUGGUUGUGUUGUUGUUUGGUUGGUUGUUACAUCCUUAAAAAAUGCAAAUAUUGCUUUUGAUGUGUGUAAAUAUGGUCAGGCAGAGAUCACUUGACCUGAUUGUUGUAAAUGGAUCAUUAUGGCUCAUCAUAAAACAUGACUGAUUCAGUUCUGAAUUCUGAUGUCAAAACUGGCAAUUACUCCCUGAGAAUGUAUAAUAUGAAUGACAAAUGAAUAUA